AAAGUCAAACUCAAACAUGAGAAGUAAGACCACUAGGACAAGCCUAGGGUCAAAAGGAGGUGAAAAAUUCAAAACAACAAGUGAAAAUUGAUCAAAAUCAAUAUUUAUCAAUCAAGAGUAGAAUCUAAUUGGUCUCACAUCAAAACUAUGCACCAAAUCCAUUUCAUACUCAAAACAUGUCAAACUAUACACUUUAGAAUCACAUUGGAGCCAACAGAAUGAUCACACUCAAACCAUUACCAAAAUAGCUCAAUAAAUGCCAAGAAAAUUCAA
rnacentral:lncRNA from 1 species